UUUAUUUUNGUCGCAUUUAGAUUCAAGUUGGAUCUAAUUAUGUCUAUUUUUCUACUUGUUUUAUCUCGUUAGAUUUAAAUUAGAUCUACUUAGAUUUAAUCCAUUUUUUUCUGGGAUGUCAAAUAUUUUGUGUAUUCAGGGAGGAAUCGUUUACGCAGUGGAGUUUUCACGGAGAACGGGAAAAGAUCUAAUCGACGUAGCUAAGAAAGGACACAAUAUCAUUCCUACAGUUGAAGACGCGCAAAAUCUUUUCAAGUAUUGUAUGCUCGUAUGGUAGACACUGUCUUCGCGGACGUCGCACAGCUGGAUCAGACUCGUAUUGUUGUAUUCAACGCGCACUAUUAUUCUCAAAAACAGCGAACAUUUUCUUAUCCAUCAAGGCAAGUUGCGUAGAUUCAACGGCAAAAUUGGAAGCGAUAUUUGCGAAAAAAAAAAGCUAUUAAAAGCACAAGAUGGUUCGCUGGCAACAGUUUGCUCCGCUAUUCAGCAGAUACGCUAGUAGGAACUCAAAAUCGAAAGUAUCUAUAUCUCGUAUGAACUCAGAUAAUAAUAAGUUACUAAAAAGUCUACAAGAAGAAGUUGUAUCGUAUGAUAAAUUAUUAAAAACAAUAAAAUGUGCAAGAACCAGGAUACAAAUAAUAACUUCAUCAACGAUUGAAGAUAAUCUAUAUUUCCGAGUUUUCUACGUAGAAAAAUUCGCCGCCACUAUGCGAAUAAUUCUCCGAUUAAAUUUUAUUUUAGGAAAGGAAACUUCGUUAAAUAUUAAUUCGGUUUGCGAUCUAGAUAGGAUUGUAGAACUCGGUAGUAAAUAUUUAACGGAAAACGAGAAAAAAAAGUUGCAAGUGUUCCGAAAAAAAUUAAAAGAUGGUAAAAUUGAUACGGAUCAGCUCAAUACGGCAUUACACGUGAUACAAAAAUGGUGAAACGCGGCCGGCGGCACCCCCUAAAUUUAGAGUGAUAUCCACGAACAAGGAAUCUGUAACUCAGAAGUCCUGAAGAGGCAGGGAUGGUACGAGAUCUUUGGCAGGAAUGCUCGAUGGAUUGGGUCGAAAAAUAUAUCGUCACUCCCUACGUAUAAUUACAUAAGUGUCACAUAUGGGAUUUUCAGUUUAUUGCAUAGUGACACU